rnacentral:rRNA from 1 species
GGUUAAGCGACUAAGCGUACACGGUGGAUGCCCCGGCAGUCAGAGGCGAUGAAGGGCGUGCUAAUCUGCGAUAAGCGCCGGUAAGGUGAUAUGAACCGUUAUAACCGGCGAUACCCGAAUGGGGAAACCCAGUGUGACUCGUCACACUAUCAUUAACUGAAUCCAUAGGUUAAUGAGGCGAACCGGGGAACUGAAACAUCUAAGUACCCCGAGGAAAAGAAAUCAACCGAGAUUCCCCAGUAGCGGCGAGCGAACGGGGAGGAGCCCAGAGCCUGAAUCAGCAUGUGUGUUAGUGGAAGCGUCUGGAAAGGCGCGCGAUACAGGGUGACAGCCCCGUACACAAAAGCGCAUGUGCUGUGAGCUCGAUGAGUAGGGCGGGACACGUGGUAUCCUGUCUGAAUAUGGGGGACCAUCCUCCAAGGCUAAAUACUCCUGACUGACCGAUAGUGAACCAGUACCGUGAGGGAAAGGCGAAAAGAACCCCGGCGAGGGGAGUGAAAAGAACCUGAAACCGUGUACGUACAAGCAGUGGGAGCACAGGUUUACCUGUGUGACUGCGUACCUUUGUAUAAUGGGUCAGCGACUUAUAUUCUGUAGCAAGGUUAACCGAAUAGGGAGCCGGAGGAAACCGAGUCUUAAUUGGGCGUUAAGUUGCAGGGUAUAGACCCGAAACCCGGUGAUCUAGCCAUGGGCAGGUUGAAGGUUGGGUAACACUAACUGGAGGACCGAACCGACUAAUGUUGAAAAAUUAGCGGAUGACCUGUGGCUGGGGGUGAAAGGCCAAUCAAACCGGGAGAUAGCUGGUUCUCCCCGAAAGCUAUUUAGGUAGCGCCUCGUGAACUCAUCUCCGGGGUAGAGCACUGUUUCGGCUAGGGGCCAUCCCGGCUUACCAACCCGAUGCAAACUGCGAAUACCGGAGAAUGUUAUCACGGGAGACACACGGCGGGUGCUAACGUCCGUCGUGAAGGGAAACAACCCAGACCGCCAGCUAAGGUCCCAAAGUCAUGGUUAAGUGGGAAACGAUGUGGGAAGGCCCAGACAGCCGGGAUGUUGGCUUAGAAGCAGCCAUCAUUUAAAGAAAGCGUAAUAGCUCACUGGUCGAGUCGGCCUGCGCGGAAGAUGUAACGGGGCUAAACCAUGCACCGAAGCUGCGGCAGCGACACUCAGGUGUUGUUGGGUAGGGAGCGUUCUGUAAGCCUGUGAAGGUGUGUCGUGAGGCAUGCUGGAGGUAUCAGAAGUGCGAAUGCUGACAUAAGUAACGAUAAAGCGGGUGAAAAGCCCGCUCGCCGGAAGACCAAGGGUUCCUGUCCAACGUUAAUCGGGGCAGGGUGAGUCGACCCUAAGGCGAGGCCGAAAGGCGUAGUCGAUGGGAAACGGGUUAAUAUUCCCGUACUUGGUGUUACUGCGAAGGGGGACGGAGAAGGCUAUGUUGGCCGGGCGACGGUUGUCCCGGUUUAAGCGUGUAGGUGUGUGUUCCGGUAAAUCCGGUUCACUUUAACACUGAGGCGUGAUGACGAGGCACUACGGUGCUGAAGCAACAAAUGCCCUGCUUCGGGAAAAGCCUCUAAGCAUCAGGUAACAUCAAAUCGUACCCCAAACCGACACAGGUGGUCAGGUAGAGAAUACCAAGGCGCUUGAGAGAACUCGGGUGAAGGAACUAGGCAAAAUGGUGCCGUAACUUCGGGAGAAGGCACGCUGACACGUAGGUGAAGUGAUUUACUCACGGAGCUGAAGUCAGUCGAAGAUACCAGCUGGCUGCAACUGUUUAUUAAAAACACAGCACUGUGCAAACACGAAAGUGGACGUAUACGGUGUGACGCCUGCCCGGUGCCGGAAGGUUAAUUGAUGGGGUCAGCGCAAGCGAAGCUCCUGAUCGAAGCCCCGGUAAACGGCGGCCGUAACUAUAACGGUCCUAAGGUAGCGAAAUUCCUUGUCGGGUAAGUUCCGACCUGCACGAAUGGCGUAAUGAUGGCGGGCUGUCUCCACCCGAGACUCAGUGAAAUUGAACUCGCUGUGAAGAUGCAGUGUACCCGCGGCAAGACGGAAAGACCCCGUGAACCUUUACUAUAGCUUGACACUGAACAUUGAGCCUUGAUGUGUAGGAUAGGUGGGAGGCUUUGAAGUGUGGACGCCAGUCUGCAUGGAGCCGACCUUGAAAUACCACCCUUUAAUGUUUGAUGUUCUAACGUGGACCCGUUACCCGGGUUGCGGACAGUGUCUGGUGGGUAGUUUGACUGGGGCGGUCUCCUCCUAAAGAGUAACGGAGGAGCACGAAGGUUGGCUAAUCUGGUCGGACAUCAGGAGGUUAGUGCAAUGGCAUAAGCCAGCUUGACUGCGAGCGUGACGGCGCGAGCAGGUGCGAAAGCAGGUCAUAGUGAUCCGGUGGUUCUGAAUGGAAGGGCCAUCGCUCAACGGAUAAAAGGUACUCCGGGGAUAACAGGCUGAUACCGCCCAAGAGUUCAUAUCGACGGCGGUGUUUGGCACCUCGAUGUCGGCUCAUCACAUCCUGGGGCUGAAGUAGGUCCCAAGGGUAUGGCUGUUCGCCAUUUAAAGUGGUACGCGAGCUGGGUUUAGAACGUCGUGAGACAGUUCGGUCCCUAUCUGCCGUGGGCGCUGGAGAACUGAGGGGGCUGCUCCUAGUACGAGAGGACCGGAGUGGACGCAUCACUGGUGUUCGGGUUGUCAUGCCAAUGGCACUGCCCGGUAGCUAAAUGCGGAAGAGAUAAGUGCUGAAAGCAUCUAAGCACGAAACUUGCCCCGAGAUGAGUUCUCCUGAGACUUAGAGUCUCCUGAAGGAACGUUGAAGACGACGACGUUGAUAGGCCGGGUGUGUAAGCGCAGCGAUGCGUUGAGCUAACCGGUACUAAUGAACCGUGAGGCUUAACCUU